UAGGUAGAAGCCCGCUGGAUAGGGUGUUUGGUUGUUAACUAAAAAUAUUACGGGAUUGAGGCCCGUUUACCUAGG
rnacentral:tRNA from 1 species